GCAAGUCGAACGGUAACAGUUCUUUCGAGAAGCUGACGAGUGGCGCACGGGUGCGUAACGCGUAUGCAACCUACCCUAUACAGGGGGAUAGCCCAGAGAAAUUUGGAUUAAUACCCCAUAGUACUAUCAGAUGGCAUCUGAAGAUAGUUAAAGAUUUAUUGGUAUAGGAUGGGCAUGCGUUAGAUUAGUUAGUUGGUGAGGUAACGGCUCACCAAGGCGACGAUCUAUAGGGGUUCUGAGAGGAUGAUCCCCCACACUGGCACUGAGAUACGGGCCAGACUCCUACGGGAGGCAGCAGUAGGGAAUAUUGGUCAAUGGGCGAGAGCCUGAACCAGCCAUGCCGCGUGCAGGAAGACGGCCUUCUGGGUUGUAAACUGCUUUUAUAUGGGAAGAAAAAGGUCUUGCGAGACAAAUUGCCGGUACCAUAUGAAUAAGCACCGGCUAACUCCGUGCCAGCAGCCGCGGUAAUACGGAGGGUGCAAGCGUUGUCCGGAUUUAUUGGGUUUAAAGGGUGCGUAGGUGGGCCUUUAAGUCAGUGGUGAAAGCCUGCAGCUUAACUGUAGAACUGCCAUUGAUACUGGAGGUCUUGAGUAUAGAUAAGGUAGGCGGAAUUGAUGAUGUAGCGGUGAAAUGCAUAGAUAUCAUCANGAACUCCGAUUGCGAAGGCAGCUUACUGGUCUAUAACUGACGCUGAGGCACGAAAGCGUGGGGAGC
rnacentral:rRNA from 1 species